rnacentral:lncRNA from 1 species
AUGAAGGUCGAGCUAUGCGGUUUCAGCCGGUACAAGGUCUACCCCGGACACGGGAGGCGCUACGCCAGGACCGACAGGAAAGUUUUCCAGUUUCUUAAUGCAAAAUGCGAAUCGGCGUACUUUUCCAGGGGGAAUCCUCGGCAGAUAAGCUGGACUGUCCUCUACAGAAAGAAGCACAAAAAGGGACAAUUGGAAGAAAUUCAAAAGAAAAGAACUUGCCGAGCAGUCAAAUUGCAGGGGGCUAUUACAGGUGCCUCUCCUGCUGAUAUAAUGGCCAAGAGGAAUCAGAAACCUGAAGUUAGAAAGGCUCAACGAGAACAAGGUAUCAGGGCUGCUAAGGAAGCAAAAAAGGCUAAGCAAAGUAUCUAAAAACACUGCAAUGGCUGCUGUUAAGGCACCUACAAAGGCAGCACCUAAGUAAAUGAUUGUGAAGCCCGUGAAAGUUUCAGUUCUCGAGUUGGUGGAAAACGCU